CCUUGGCACUUGCCUUCCUCAACCUUGUCUGUUUAUGUCUCUAACCUACAGGUUGGAUCUGCUGAGUUCCAAACUAAAGAGAAUAAAACCUGGUGCAGAGUGAGGGUCCCCUUCUCAACAGCAAGUUUUGUCUAGACUUGGUCUUGCCAGAGGCCUGGUAAGAGCUAAGGCCUGGGUACCCAUGUGGCCCCUGAGCUGCAGAAAAUACAAGGGAUACAGGUGACCUCUAGAAGCCGGAAAAGAGAUUCCUGCUGCCACACCAUUUCUACAUGCCACCAUCUUCCCUUCCGAGAGAAACCCUUUCAAUCUGGAUGUCAGACUUGAUGGGAUUCAAGUUCAUCACACUCUUGAUGGGCUGCGGGCUGCCUCUCAGCAGCCCCAUAGCGAGGAGGGUUGAUUUAUCCUUCCUCCAAUCCACCUUGUGGCCAAGGCCAAGUCUACUGUAACUGGAACCUAUUGUAACAAUCAGUUCUUCUAGGCUUCAUAUCUGCACUUGUAGGAAAGUGACAUGCCCCUGAAGUGACUCUGAAAUCAUCUCAGACAGCCCCAGCCACACUGGAAGGAAGCCACUGACAAUUUGGAAUAGCUGAGCUGAAUAAGGCUUUGGAGAGGCCAAACAAUGCUAUCAUCCCAGCUAGAAACAUUCCUGGUACUUUGGCUAAUUUCUAAGAUGCAAACUAAUUCAGUUCACUUUCAAGAAAUGAAACCCUUGAGGCUGAAGUAUCCUCACAGGAAAGACCUAAACCAAGUAGCCCAUUACCUUUCUUACAUACUUCAAAACAUGAUCUGAUCUUAUGAGGAUGCCAGUCUAACUUUGGAGAGAGAAGUAUGGGUCUGCUGAAGGACGGAACAGGGAUACUGUUAGAGAUUUCAGAUCAAGAGCUGCAGUUACUUGUACUCAAUCUCCCCACUGCUACUGUCUCCAUUACACUUGGCUUUAAGAGCAGAAAAAAAGAUCUAAGCAAACCACAGCAAAGGAAGCAACUUGUUCAAAGUUGGUGUAAAAACGUAUGUUUAUUGUGGCACUAGUCACAAUAGCAAAGACUUGGAACCAACCCAAAUGUCCAUUGAUGAUAGACUGGAUUAAGAAAAUGUGGCACAUAUACACCAUGG
rnacentral:lncRNA from 1 species